UGGGGAAUAUUGCACAAUGGGCGCAAGCCUGAUGCAGCCAUGCCGCGUGUAUGAAGAAGGCCUUCGGGUUGUAAAGUACUUUCAGCGGGGAGGAAGGGAGUAAAGUUAAUACCUUUGCUCAUUGACGUUACCCGCAGAAGAAGCACCGGCUAACUCCGUGCCAGCAGCCGCGGUAAUACGGAGGGUGCAAGCGUUAAUCGGAAUUACUGGGCGUAAAGCGCACGCAGGCGGUUUGUUAAGUCAGAUGUGCAAUCCCCGGGCUCAACCUGGGAACUGCAUCUGAUACUGGGAAGCUUGAGUGUCGUAGAGGGGGGUAGAAUUCCAGGUGUAGCGGUGAAAUGCGUAGAGAUCUGGAGGAAUACCGGUGGCGAAGGCGGCCCCCUGGACGAAGACUGACGCUCAGGUGCGAAAGCGUGGGGAGCAAACAGG
rnacentral:rRNA from 1 species